rnacentral:pre_miRNA from 1 species
GCAGUGGAAAAAGUGAAGCUGCCAGCAUGAUCUAUCUUUGGUUAGUGAGUGAAAGGGGGUGCUAAGGCUAUGUUGCUAACCCUAGCUAGGUCAUGCUCUGACAGCCUCACUCCUUCUACUU